AACUUUCAACAAUGGAUCUCUUGGUUCCGGCAUCGAUGAAGAACGCAGCGAACUGCGAUAAGUAAUGUGAAUUGCAGAAUUCAGUGAAUCAUCGAGUCUUUGAACGCACAUUGCGCCCCCUGGCAUUCCGGGGGGCAUGCCUGUCCGAGCGUCA
rnacentral:rRNA from 1 species